rnacentral:rRNA from 1 species
AUUGAACGCUGGCGGCAUGCCUUACACAUGCAAGUCGAACGGCAGCACGGGUGCUUGCACCUGGUGGCGAGUGGCGAACGGGUGAGUAAUAUAUCGGAACGUACCUUAUUGUGGGGGAUAACGCAGCGAAAGCUGUGCUAAUACCGCAUAAUCCCUAAGGGGGAAAGCGGGGGACCGUAAGGCCUCGCGCAAUUAGAGCGGCCGAUACCUGAUUAGCUAGUUGGUAAGGUAAAGGCUCACCAAGGCAACGAUCAGUAGCUGGUCUGAGAGGACGAUCAGCCACACUGGGACUGAGACACGGCCCAGACUCCUACGGGAGGCAGCAGUGGGGAAUUUUGGACAAUGGGGGCAACCCUGAUCCAGCAAUGCCGCGUGAGUGAGGAAGGCCUUCGGGUUGUAAAGCUCUUUUGUCAGGGAAGAAACAGCAGCUCUAACACAGUAUGCGAAUGACGGUACCUGAAGAAUAAGCACCGGCUAACUACGUGCCAGCAGCCGCGGUAA